UACGUAGGGUGCAAGCGUUGUCCGGAAUUAUUGGGCGUAAAGAGCUCGUAGGCGGUUUGUCGCGUCUGCUGUGAAAAUCCAGGGCUUAACCCUGGACCUGCAGUGGGUACGGGCAGACUAGAGUGCGGUAGGGGAGAUCGGAAUUCCUGGUGUAGCGGUGAAAUGCGCAGAUAUCAGGAGGAACACCGGUGGCGAAGGCGGAUCUCUGGGCCGUAACUGACGCUGAGACGCGAAAGCGUGGGGAGCGAACAGG
rnacentral:rRNA from 1 species